rnacentral:rRNA from 1 species
ACCGAACAGACGAGGAGCUUGCUCCUCUAACGUUAGCGGCGGACGGGUGAGUAACACGUGGAUAACCCACCUAUAAGACUGGGAUAACUUCGGGAAACCGGAGCUAAUACCGGAUAAUAUAUUGAACCGCAUGGUUCAAUAGUGAAAGACGGUUUUGCUGUCACUUAUAGAUGGAUCCGCGCCGCAUUAGCUAGUUGGUAAGGUAACAGCUUACCAAGGCAACGAUGCGUAGCCGACCUGAGAGGGUGAUCGGCCACACUGGAACUGAGACACGGUCCAGACUCCUACGGGAGGCAGCAGUAGGGAAUCUUCCGCAAUGGGCGAAAGCCUGACGGAGCAACGCCGCGUGAGUGAUGAAGGUCUUCGGAUCGUAAAACUCUGUUAUUAGGGA